AGCGAACGCUGGCGGCAGGCUUAACACAUGCAAGUCGAACGGGCGUAGCAAUACGUCAGUGGCAGACGGGUGAGUAACGCGUGGGAACGUACCUUUUGGUUCGGAACAACACAGGGAAACUUGUGCUAAUACCGGAUAAGCCCUUACGGGGAAAGAUUUAUCGCCGAAAGAUCGGCCCGCGUCUGAUUAGCUAGUUGGUGAGGUAAUGGCUCACCAAGGCGACGAUCAGUAGCUGGUCUGAGAGGAUGAUCAGCCACAUUGGGACUGAGACACGGCCCAAACUCCUACGGGAGGCAGCAGUGGGGAAUAUUGGACAAUGGGGGCGAACCCUGAUCCAGCCAUGCCGCGUGAGUGAUGAAGGCCCUAGGGUUGUAAAGCUCUUUUGUGCGGGAAGAUAAUGACGGUACCGCAAGAAUAAGCCCCGGCUAACUUCGUGCCAGCAGCCACGGUAA
rnacentral:rRNA from 1 species